CGAGCAAGGGUUAAGCCCAAAUCUGAAGAAGAUUGAUUCGAUCAAAUGAGAUCGACGAGAAUGAGACUCGCUCGACUCUUGUCCGCGCAUGUUCGCAUCUCAGAUUGAUUUGAACUUGAUUAGGUACAAUUUCAGUUGAGACACCAGGGUGCUAUACCACAGGCGAUAUCAAAAGGCAGGGCAGACGCUUCGAGAAUGAAGAUCCCCAUUUAUUAAGUGCCAACAAUCUACAACUUAAAAAAUGGGAGGUCAACCUCUCUAGCGAGCGAAAAUCAGGCCUAAUUAAUCCAGUCAACUCUCAAUGCGAUACAUAUAUUGCUGACGGUACAAGAGAAGGGACUCAUUAGCGACGAUUCCAAGACGAUCGACCUUCCUCCAACCGAUUCGGGUCGAACCAUUUGUCGAAGCAGAGCGUGACCUCAUUCAGCCGAUACUUGAGCCUAAGCUCAAAACCGCACAAUCCAUGUACAUACGUACAUGAACACACGUACGCAGCCGACAUCACCUCGUGCCGCGACACAAGAGGCAUGAGAACGUUGCAUAGGCAACGUGUCUCAAUGAGACAUCCCACUUAGUCGGCAUCGGUGUUUAUCGCACUAGUUUAUCGAGUUCAUUAUGCUGUGCCAGACACGGAUGACAAUGCCUUCUCCCACGACGAGGACUUCUUCGGCGACGACGUCUUCAUUAGUAGCGGCGCUUCAUUAUCGCGAUAAUAUAACCGCAAAAUAUCGUUUGGCACAUACAUAUUAUAUUACAAUAUAUCGCUCUAACUAGUAUAGAGCCAAAUUAUCAAUCCAUAUGAAUCGGAUUACAAAAAAUUAGAAUGAAAUGUAUAUAUAUAAAAUUAAAUUAUUAGUGUUUAUAUAAUUAUUUAAAGAAUUUAUAAUCACACACGCGAUUAAUGAUCAAUAGUAUGUUUAUAAAAUAAAUUAGUUUAAAUCUACGUAUUAUAAAAUGUUUUCUGUUUAUAUUAAAGUCAAAUAUUAAUCUAAUCUGUUGUAAUCCAUUCAUCCAUUUUGAGGUAACGGAACUAACUACAAUCUACAGUCUAUCUAAAAUCCAAAUCUACAAUCAACUCACUACAAAACCGUUACCUCGUAAUAAAAUGUAAUUCACUCACCACCCGAUAUGCAGCAGCGGAGUUGACUGCAUCGAAGCUACGUUGAUCUGUAACAUGCAAAUAGAAUAUAAAUUGUAGUAGCGC